rnacentral:rRNA from 1 species
AACAUGGAGAGUUUGAUCCUGGCUCAGGAUGAACGCUGGCGGUAUGCUUAACACAUGCAAGUCGAACGAAAGACUUCGGUCUUUAGUGGCGGACGGGUGAGUAACGCGUGAG